rnacentral:rRNA from 1 species
UACGUAGGGGCCGGAGCGUUGUCCGGAGUUACUGGGCGUAAAGCGCGCGCAGGCGGCUCGUCAAGCCUGACGUGAAAGCCCCCGGCUCAACCGGGGAGGGUCGUCGGGGACUGGCGGGCUUGAGGUCGGCAGGGGCUGGUGGAAUUCCCGGUGUAGUGGUGAAAUGCGUAGAGAUCGGGAGGAACACCAAUGGCGAAGGCAGCUCGCUGGGACGGUACUGACGCUGAGACGCGAAAGCGUGGGGAGCAAACAGG